GACGAACGCUGGCGGCAUGCCUAAUACAUGCAAGUCGAGCGAACAGAUGAAGUGCUUGCACUUCUGACGUUAGCGGCGAACGGGUGAGUACCACGUAAGGAAUCUACCUAUAAGCGGGGGAUAACAUUCGGAAACGGGUGCUAAUACCGCAUAAUAUCUUCUUCCGCUUGGAAGAAGAUUGAAAGACGGCUCUGCUGUCACUUAUAGAUGACCUUGCGGUGCAUUAGUUAGUUGGUGGGGUAACGGCCUACCAAGACGAUGAUACAUAGCCGACCUGAGAGGGUGAUCGGCCACAUUGGGACUGAGACACGGCCCAAACUCCUACGGGAGGCAGCUGUAGGGAAUCUUCCGCAAUGGGCGAAAGCCUGACGGAGCAAUGCCGCGUGAGUGAAGAAGGCCUUCGGGUCGUAAAACUCUGUUAUAAGAGAAGAACAAAUUGUAGAGUAACUGCUACAGUCUUGACGGUAUCUUAUCAGAAAGCCACGGCUAACUACGUGCCAGCAGCCGCCGUAA
rnacentral:rRNA from 1 species